rnacentral:rRNA from 1 species
UACGAAGGGGGCUAGCGUUGCUCGGAAUCACUGGGCGUAAAGCGCACGUAGGCGGAUUGUUAAGUCAGGGGUGAAAUCCCAAGGCUCAACCUUGGAACUGCCUUUGAUACUGGGGAUCUCGAGUCCGGAAGAGGUGAGUGGAAUUCCGAGUGUAGAGGUGAAAUUCGUAGAUAUUCGGAGGAACACCAGUGGCGAAGGCGGCUCACUGGUCCGGUACUGACGCUGAGGUGCGAAAGCGUGGGGAGCAAACAGG